rnacentral:lncRNA from 1 species
UCAUUAUUUAAAAGUGUGCACAUCCAAUCAAUCACAAUAUUCAUUGAGAACUUUGAGUAUUCUUCAAAUUAUGUUUGUUUGUUUUUUUGGUUAUGUGAGAUGGAAUGACACUUGGACAGAGUGGUAAUUUAAGUUAAGGAACAAAAAAAGAAAAGUCACGUGUUGCUAAAUCAGGCGAAGAUGGUGGUUGAUUGAUGGUAUUUAUUGCAUGUUUGGGUUUGAAUUCGCUCACAAUCGUGGGUCGUUGCGAUGGCACGUUAUCGUCGUAUAAGAUUUUUAGUCAGAAUAGUACGAACUGAAUGAUGCAAGAUGUUAAUACAAUAUGAUAACUCCCUGAAGCUGGUAUGACGAUUUUUCAACUCAUUUUCCUUCACUACGUCGAUGGUCAGUUCGGUGGUAGUGAACGAAGGUCAUCCAGAACGCAGCAUCCCUUCGACGAACGCUUUUUACCACUCAUAUGCACGGGUUUGAUCAAACUGAUUCACCAAAAGCUUUUUCCAACAUUUUCUACGCAUCUGCAGAUGAAAUUUUAUUCGUAACACAAAAUUUACGGGAAACUUUUAUUCCAAUAAUUUCGUUCAUUGUAAAAAUCGUGGAGUACUAGUAAGGAAAUUCACUUAUCCCGCUGUUGCAAGUAAACUGGUCAACAGAUAGUGUUCAAAUUUGGCAUCAUAAUGAAAGACAGUGCUGACGACCUAGAGAAAAAAAUGUUUUUACAUUCCUUCAGUACGGGUAAUUUAAGUUAACAAAUUCGCGAUACUUUUUUGACAGAAUGUUCAUAACUCAAAUUAGUCGUUUAAAACCAAAGUUUAGAUUUUUAUACAUCGCUAUUUGUACCAGUUUAAACUCGUAGUAUCUCCAUGAAUAUUUAAUUGAUGCAACUUCUUUUCUUUUCUUUUUUGCUAUACUCACAGUUUAAAACUAAUAUAAUGCAGGCUUCUACCUAGUUUUGGGUCGGUCCAUUAUCGCUCGGAGUCGACUCACUCGGUUGGUCCAAAAAAUGAACCAAUAAUAAAAAUCUUGUCAAGUGACUCGGUCCUGCAUCGGUUUGAAGACGUAGACCACACAAGAAAGAAGCUUUUAAAAUUAUACAACCGGCCUGCGGAGACACAGGAAUACCCUAUUUAGAAAUAGCAACGAAAUGAAUAAUUAUAAUUGAUAUAUAUUAUUUUAAUAAAGUUGAGUGAUGUCA